rnacentral:rRNA from 1 species
GGGGAUAAUUCUGAAUAGAUCACAUAUGCUGGAAUGCUUUGUGAUUUAAAGAUCCGUCGCCCAAGGAUGGGUCUGCGGCCUAUCAGGUUGUAGUGGGUCUAGAGUACCUACUAGCCAACGACGGGUACGGGUUGUGAGAGCAAGAGCCCGGAGAUGGAUUCUGAGACAUUAAUCCAGGCCCUACGGGGCGCAGCAGGCGCGAAACCUUUACACUGCGGGAAACCGCGAUAAGGGGACACCGAGUGCCAGCAUACAAUGCUGGCUGUCCACACGUGUAAAUAGCAUGUGAUAGCAAGGGCCGGGCAAGACCGGUGCCAGCCGCCGCGGUAACACCGGCGGCCCGAGUGGUAAUCACUAUUAUUGGGUCUAAAGGGUCCGUAGCCGGUUUAAUCAGUCUACCGGGAAAUCUGACAGCUCAACUGUUAGGCUUCCGGGGGAUACUGUUAGACUUGGGACCGGGAGAGGUAAGAGGUACUACAGGGGUAGGAGUGAAAUCUUGUAAUCCCUGUGGGACCACCAGUGGCGAAGGCGUCUUACCAGAACGGGUCCGACGGUGAGGGACGAAAGCUGGUGGCACGAACCGGAUUAGAUACCCGGGUAGUCCCAGCCGUAAACGAUGCUCGCUAGGUGUCUGGAAUGGUGCGACCGUUUCAGGUGCCGCAGGGAAGCCGUGAAGCGAGCCGCCUGGGAAGUACGGCCGCAAGGCUGAAACUUAAAGGAAUUGGCGGGGGAGCAC